AAUUUUAAGGAAAUUUUGCUGUUUUUGGUUAUUAUCUUGAAUAUUAUUAUAGAUAGAGAUAAACUGUAAACAGCAAUAAUGUUCAGCAAAGUAAGAUUUACAAAUAAGUCAACAUGACCGAAAUGGUCAGUUGACCUCUUUAGGAGUUAUUGCCCUUUAUAGUCAAUUUUUAACCAUUUUUCGUAAAUCUUAGUAAUCUUUUACAAAAAUCUUCUCCUCUGAAACUACUGGACCAAAUUAAACCAAACUUGGCCACAAUUAUCAUUGGGGUAUCUAGUUUAAAAAAUGUGUCAGGUGACUUGGCCAACCAUCCAAGAUGGCUGCCAUGGCUAAAAAUAGAACAUAGGGGUAAAAUGCAGUUUUUGGCUUAUAACUCAAAAACCAAAGCAUUUAGAGCAAAUCUGACAUGGGGUAGAAUUGUUUAACAGGUGAAGAUCUAUCUGCCCUGAAAUUUUUAGAUGAAUUGGGUAACCCGUUGUUGGGUUGCUGCCUCUGAAUUAGUAAUUUUAAGGAAAUUCUGCUGUUUUUGGUUAUUAUCUUGAAUAUUAUUAUAGAUAGAGAUAAACUGUAAACAGCAAUAAUGUUCAGCAAAGUAAGAUUUACAAAUAAGUCAACAUGACCGAAAUGGUCAGUUGACCCCUUUAGGAGUUAUUGCCCUUUAUAGUCAAUUUUAAACCAUUUUUCGUAAAUCUCAGUAAUCUUUUACAAAAAUCUUCUCCUCUGAAACUACUGGGCC
rnacentral:lncRNA from 1 species